rnacentral:tRNA from 1 species
GAUAAGGUGACCGAGUGGUUAGGUGGCAGUCUGCAAAACUGUUUAGGUGAGUUCAAUUCUCACCCUUAUCUCCA